ACAGGGAUUGCCUUAGUAGCGGCGAGUGAAGCGGCAAAAGCUCAAAUUUGAAAUCUGGCGCCUUCGGUGUCCGAGUUGUAAUUUGAAGAUUGUAACCUUGGGGUUGGCUCUUGUCUAUGUUUCUUGGAACAGGACGUCACAGAGGGUGAGAAUCCCGUGCGAUGAGAUGCCCAAUUCUAUGUAAGGUGCUUUCGAAGAGUCGAGUUGUUUGGGAAUGCAGCUCUAAGUGGGUGGUAAAUUCCAUCUAAAGCUAAAUAUUGGCGAGAGACCGAUAGCGAACAAGUACAGUGAUGGAAAGAUGAAAAGAACUUUGAAAAGAGAGUGAAAAAGUACGUGAAAUUGUUGAAAGGGAAGGGUUUGAGAUCAGACUCGAUAUUUUGUGAGCCUUGCCUUCGUGGCGGGGUGACCCGCAGCUUAUCGGGCCAGCAUCGGUUUGGGCGGUAGGAUAAUGGCGUAGGAAUGUGACUUUACUUCGGUGAAGUGUUAUAGCCUGCGUUGAUGCUGCCUGCCUAGACCGAGGACUGCGAUUUUAUCAAGGAUGCUGGCAUAAUGAUC
rnacentral:rRNA from 1 species